rnacentral:rRNA from 1 species
AUUGAACGCUGGCGGCGUGCCUAAUACAUGCAAGUCGAGCGGACUUUCAAGAAGCUUGCUUUUUGAAAGUUAGCGGCGGACGGGUGAGUAACACGUGGGCAACCUGCCUGUAAGACGGGGAUAACUCCGGGAAACCGGGGCUAAUACCGGAUAAUAUCUUUCUUCGCAUGAAGGAAGGUUGAAAGGCGGCGCAAGCUGCCGCUUGCAGAUGGGCCCGCGGCGCAUUAGCUAGUUGGUGAGGUAACGGCUCACCAAGGCGACGAUGCGUAGCCGACCUGGGAGGGUGAUCGGCCACACUGGGACUGAGACACGGCCCAGACUCCUACGGGAGGCAGCAGUAGGGAAUCUUCCGCAAUGGACGAAAGUCUGACGUAGCAACGCCGCGUGAGCGAAGAAGGUCUUCGGAUCGUAAAGCUCUGUUGUCAGGGAAGAACAAGUACCGUUCGAAUAGGGCGGUACCUUGACGGUACCUGACCAGAAAGCCACGGCUAACUACGUGCCAGCCGCCGCCGUAA